rnacentral:lncRNA from 1 species
UUUAUCGAUCGACGUUUGACUCAAAAUGUCGACUCUGGACUGGUUCGACGAACAGCUACAAGUUUCUUUUUACUUUAUAUCCAAAAUGCUCCAAAAUCACCACAUUGCUCCAAAACACUGCUAAACAUGUAAAUAAUCUAAAAUGGCUCUAAAAAAUAAUAAAUAGGUUCAAAAACACUUAUAUAGCAUGGCUAAAAAACUUCUAAAAUCCAUGGUAUAUCAACUACCCUAGACUUACCAUUUUGUUUGUUCUCAAGCAAAACAAGAGUAGUCCUAAUGAAAGAGGUUUUUGAAAAUAGCAGGAAUUAACAUAAUUUAAAAUCAGUACUCUCACUUCUGCAAAUAUGAUAGGUGGAAGUGAAUCAUUACUAACCUUGGAUGACUCAAUGUACUACAUUCUAGCUUAAUCACCAUUAUCAUAUAUCACACAACCCCAUGCCUCAAUGGCAAAGAUAAGGAGCAUUCAGAAUCCCUGAGUUCCCCAUCUCUUGAUUUGUACAUUUCGAGGUGUGGGAAAUAUCAGGUUGGCACCUGACCCGGAAAAUUCCAUCGAAGCUAUAAAUUCAGCUUGUUGGAAGAAGUACAAAUGGGGCAUCAGGAAAUUGAAAGCCCGCAGGUUCGCCUCGAGAAAAACUCGCCAAAAGUCAGCCCGGAAACGACGUCGCGAGGUCUCUUCAAAUUUUCAAACCUCUGACAAUGGAAUCCUCGUAGCCCUGGCCGCAUAUCACGCCCAGG